AACGAACGCUGGCGGCAUGCCUAACACAUGCAAGUCGAACGAGACCUUCGGGUCUAGUGGCGCACGGGUGCGUAACGCGUGGGAACCUGCCCUUAGGUUCGGAAGAACUCCCCGAAAGGGGUGCUAAUACCGGAUAAUGUCUUCGGACCAAAGAUUUAUCGCCUUUGGAUGGGCCCGCGUUGGAUUAGCUAGUUGGUAGGGUAAAAGCCUACCAAGGCGACGAUCCAUAGCUGGUCUGAGAGGAUGAUCAGCCACACUGGGACUGAGACACGGCCCAGACUCCUACGGGAGGCAGCAGUGGGGAAUAUUGGAAAAUGGGCGAAAGCCUGAACCAGCAAUGCCGCGUGAGUGAUGAAGGCCUUAGGGUUGUAAAGCUAUUUUACCCGGGAUGAUAAUGACAGUACCGGGAGAAUAAGCUCCGGCUAACUCCGUG
rnacentral:rRNA from 1 species